CUGGAGCCCUGGGAGGAGGGGGUUGGGCAGCUGCUGUUGCUGCCGCUGGUGGUCCCUGUGCUUGAAGUGCCGGGUGGUAUCGGAGUCCAUGCGCCCAAGGCUUGCUACUCUCUCCUACCGCGAAGAUGCCCAGCACCCAGCAACAUUUUCUGGCCCAGCAGAGGGCUCUCACAGACCUCUGUGACUGUUCCUGGCCCCAUCAGAUGGUGGGCCUGAGCCUGGAGCGCUGAGCUGGUCGGUAGGGUGCAGCACAUUCCUCAUCUGGAGCUGACACCUUUAGGACUUCCUUCCCAGUUGUCUUCUUCGGGCUUCCUCCUCCGCACCCUGUCAGGCCAAAGCCUCUCACACUCAGGAGUUUCUCCUUCCAGUAAGAAG
rnacentral:lncRNA from 1 species